GGUGAUGAUGGUGAUGAAGAUGAAGGUGAGGAGGGGGAGGAAGGUGAUGAUGGUGACGAAGAUGAAGGUGAGGAGGAGGAGGACGGUGGUGGUGGUGACGACGAAGAGGAAGAUGAGGAAAACGGUGAGGAAGAGGAGGAAGAAGAGGAGGAGGAAGAUGACAACGGUGGUGACAAAAGGGAGGAGGAGGAGGAAGGUGAGGAGGAGGAGGAGGAAGAGGAAGGCAACGGUGAUGAUGAGGAGGAUGAGGAUGGUGGCGGUGAGGAUGAAGAGCGCGAGGACCAUGGGGGCUCUUCACAGUGGUGACGGAUGAUGAUGAUGAUGAUGAAGACGGCUCUUCCAACCAUGAUGAUGAUGAUGAUGAAGAUGGCUCUUCCAACUGUGACGAUGAUGAUGAUGACGAUGACAAUGAUGAUGACGAUGAUGAUGAUGAUGGCUCUCCCAAGGGUGCCGAUGACAACGGGGGCUCUUCGUAAUGUUGAUGAUGAAGAUGAAGAUGAAGAAGAUGAAGAUGAAGAUGGGGCUCUUCAUCGAGGUGACGAUGAUGGCGAUGGCUCUUCCAAUUGUGACAAUAACGAUGACGAUGACGAUGACGAAGGCUCUUCCAACGUUGACGAUGACAAUGGGGGCUCUUCAUCACGGUGACGAUGACGACGGCUCUUCCAACGUUGACGAUGACGGGGUUCUUCCAAAGAUGACGACGACGACGAUGAUGAAGACGACAAUGAUGAUGACGACGAUGAUGAUGACGAAAAUGACAAUGGGGGCUCUUCAUCACGGUGACGAUGACGACGGGGCUCUUCCGGCGGUGACAAUAAUGGCGGGCUCUUCAUCACGUUGACUUUAACGAUCACGACGAUGACGACGGAGCUCUUCCACCGGUGACGAUGACGAUGACGGGGCUCUUCCAACGUUGACAAUGAUGAUGACGACAACGAUGACAAUGGGGGUUCUUCAUCAC
rnacentral:lncRNA from 1 species